rnacentral:misc_RNA from 1 species
GCGAGGGCAAAAGAGUCAGCCAAGGACAUCAUCAAUGUAAAGGGGCAGAUAGAGAAGAAGGCUUGGCCAUUUGUCCGUGAUGACCUUCGUCUUAAGGCAGAGUACCUUCGUUAUGAUCUCAAGACAAUCAUUUCUGCCAAGCCUAAGGAAGAGAAGCAGGCCCUUAAGGACCUCACAGGAAAGCUCUUCCAAGACAUCAACAACUUGGAUUAUGCAGCAAAGAUUAAGAGCAGCUCAGAAGCAGAGAAGUAUUAUGCUCAGACUGUGUCAA